CUGUGUUCUGCCAAGCAUUGCGGGUAUGCCAUGUUGAUGCCAGAAUGUGAAGUGACAUGCUAAUGGAGAUGAGAAGUUGGUGACCUUGUCUUUCCGUUAGACAGACGAGCAGGAUUGUGUCAUUGAGCCCUGUUAAGUCUGAUACACCAUUCGAUCAUGGCUGAUUUAUUAUCCCGCUCCUGCCUUCUCUCCUCCCCCCCAACCUUUGAUGACCUUGAUGAAGAAGGCAGAGUUUGUCAUCAAAAACAGAAGGUCUUGAGGAAUUAUCUCCUAUCUUUGGUCAGCUGCCUGAUGUUAGACAAUGGUUUCCAAUGCUGUGUGGGUGUAUUUGAGUGCUUUAUUGCAUUGAACAGCAAGUUAGUCCUGACGAAGGGUCUCGGCCUGAAACGUCGACUGCGCCUCUUCCUAUAGAUGCUGCCUGGCCUGCUGCGUUCACCAGCAACUUUGAUGUGUGUUGCUUACCAGGAAAUGGUUAUCUCCGGAGAGCCCAACUUUAAAUGUAUGGAUGGAAAUUACAAUGGACAUUUACAAAAUGGAGAAGAUAACAACAUCUGUUAAUCAUAAAUUGGAACAAUUUUAUUCAUACUGGAAAAGAUGGUUUAAUUACAUAACAUCUUAUAGGCCUGAUUUUAUUCUCACAAUCAAUGAAUAUGUUGUUUAAAAAAUCACUCCCUACUCUGUACAUAGUUUUCUUCUUUCUAUAGUAUACUUCAGAUAAACAUUGUGGAGAUUUGUGACAGAUAUGAUUAUAUGAUAUAUAUGUACAGUAUCUGAAAUAUAUCUUAUGGAAAUGUUUGACGAUGAAAUUCAAAAAAAAAAUUACAAAAAUAGAAAUGAAUGCCAUCAUUUCAUUUGCCUUCUUUGCCACCGACUCACCCUGGAGGUUAACCAUUAGGGUAUCCUGCACAAGGACUCCCAAGUCCCUUUGCAUAUCUGCAUUUUGAAUUCUCUCCCCAUCUAAAUAACAGGCUGCCCGUUUAUUUCUUCCACCAAAGUGCAUGACCAUACACUUUCCAACAUUGUAAGACUCCCUGUUUCCUCAGCAUUACCUGCCCACUCACUGUUUGCAUCAUCUGCAAACUUGACCAAAAAGCCCUGAAUUCCAUCAUCCAGAUCAUUAAAACAUAAUAUGAAAAGCAGCAGACCAACAGACUGAUUGGAACACUACCAAUCACCAGCAGUCAACAGAAAAGACUCCCUUUGUUCACACAAUUUGCUUUCUGCCAGUCAGCCAAUCUUCUGUCCAUGCUAGUAUCUCUCCUUAGGUUCUUAUCUUGUUUAGCAGCCGCAUGUGUGGCACCUUGUCAGAGGUCUUCUGAAAUUUAAUAUCCACUAAUUCUUCUCUGUCUGUCCUGCCUGUUAUUUCCUCAAAGGAUUCCAACAAAUUUGUCAGGUAUGAUUUCCCCUCAAGGAAACCAUGCUGAUUACAGCCUAUUUUAUCAUGUGUCUUCAUGUCUUUUGCCUCCAUUCCUUCUUGAAGUGUGGAGUGACAUUUGCAAUUUCCAAUCUUCCAGAAACAUUCCAGAAUCUAGUGAUUCUUGAAAAAUCAUUACUAAUGCCUCCACAAUCUUUUCAUCUUUCAGAACCAUGAAAUGAAAUCAUUCUGGUCCAGGUGACUUCUAUACCUUUACACCUUUCAGCAUCCCAUGGUACUUCUCAGUAAUAGCAACCAUACUGAUUCUUCCACCCGACACACUUGAAUUUCUGACAUGUGACAUGAAAUACUUAUUCAGUUCACCCACCAUUUCUUUGCUCCACAUUACUAUGCCUUCUCCAGUGUCAUUUCCUAGUGGUCCAAAGUCCACUUUCGUUCUUCAUAUACCUGAAAAAAAAACUUCUGGUAUCCUCUUCUAUAUUGGCUAGCUUAUCUUUUCACUCUUUAAUGCAGUUUUAGUUGCCUUCCGUUGGUUUUGAAAAGCUCCCAAGCUUCCCACUAAUUUUGCAAUAUUGCAUGCCUACUCUUUAGCUUACAUGCUGUCUUUGACUUGCCUUGUCAGCCAUAAUUACCUCAUCCUCCCUUUAGAAUACCGCUUCUUCUUUGGUAUGAACUGAUCCUGCGUCUUCCGAGCUAUUCCCAGAAGACUGCCGGUUUGAAGGUUAAUAGGUCUUUGUAAUUUGUCCUGUGAUUAGGCUACGAUUAAAUUGGGGGGGGGGGGGGUGUGGAAUCACUCAGCUCAAAAGGUCAGAAGGGCGUAUUCCGUGUUGUAUCACAAUAAAUGAGUAAGUGAUAAGGAACUAUGGUGAUUUGUGCUUUGGCUUGCAGCAAUUUCUUUUUUAGCAUUUUAAAAAUAUGAGUUAAUGUGUUGAAAGAAUGAUUUCAAAUGCCAACAUUGAUCCCACUGCUAGUCAGAGUACAAAAUCUCCUGUUCUACUGCUGUCCAAUGAUCAUGGACACUAGAACUACCUCUAACACAUGAGCAUCAGCUGAGACAAUACGUUAAAAGUAACUCCAGCAUGUGAUGUCACAAGACGAUGUGGCACUUGAGGCCAAAACUAUUUUAAAAUGUUGCAUGCGUCUUACUCAGAGGUUAAAAUGCAAUUGGAAUUUUUAGUCCUUUCUACACGUUUUAAUGAAAUGGAGAUCUACGUUAACAAAAUGACACUUCAUUAGAUGGAAAAAUUGUUCUAGCAAGUGGUGUUGUUCAACUAUAAUUACUUUUUUGGGAGAUGGGCACAAUAAUAAAUGGUCUACAACUAUUAUUCAGGAAUCUGUCUUCAUGAUUUCUGGGUAAGUACCUCCAACAGUCUUUUAAAAUUAGUGUAGUUUGUAUGUUGUAAUUUCAACUUGACAUACAAAGUUCCAUAAGCCCCUGGGAUCAAAUUUAUCAGCCAUACACAUUACAUAUACAAUUAAUUUACUGUGGUGCUGGUCAGGGUGUGACAUGCAACAAAAAAAACAUUGAACAAUUAUAAUAAUUAUACAAAAUCAAGAUUUGGAAUAAAAUGUACAUAAAUACCGAUAUGUAUUUACAAUGUAAACAGCAUUACAAAACAUUUAAAAGAGGUUGCAGCGCAGUGAUGGGGGGUGGGCGGGAGAGAAGAAGAAUAAAUAGAGGGUGGGGUCAAACUUGAACGGUUGAUCAGAUCAACUGCCUGGGGGAAGAAACUUUUAAGAUGGCGUGAAGUUCAUACAAGUCCUGUGGUGUUGGUCGAUUACAGCCAAUGACCAUUCUCUACACUUGAGUAUUUAGCAUUUCAACUUGGUUUUGUAUCUUGCACUACUUUUUGUUGUGUAAACUAGAUCCACCCAGUGGGUUUUGUUCAGAGGACAGCAGUGGUGACAGAGAUUUGCUGUCAUCUGCAAACACCUACAUCUACCACAAAUUCCAAAUUUCAUCUCCAUUGCUAAUCUGAAGCUAUACUAGACCCAGGAAGCUUGACAUUCAAUUUACAUCCAAGUUUCAAUCUUCACUCAGGCCAGAGAUUCAUUUUCUUGUAGGCAUUCACAAUAGAAUAAAGAAAGAAAUAGAAUCAAUUAAAAACGGCACACAGAGUGACAAUCCAUGUGCAAAAGAAAAACUGUGCAAAUGCAAAAGAAACAAUAAUAAUAGUAAUAAAAUAUGUCAAUAAUUAAUACUGAGAACACAAGCUGCAGAGUCCUUGAAAGCAAGUCCAUAAGUUGUGGAAUCAUUUGCCAAGUGCUAAGUAUUGACCAAUUCCAAAAUGGUAAGACUGUAACCACAUACCCAUUGUAUUCAAUGGCAUCACAAUCUUGAACAGCUGGUUGACCCACUUGAAUAUAGUUCAAGUUAAUGAUCAAAGUACAUAAAUGUCUCUUUAUACUACCUUGAGAUUCAUUUUCUUGUGGGCAUUCACAGAUACAAAGAAACACAAUAAAAUCACUGAAAAUCUACAAAGCCAGACAGCCAAAUUGUGCAAAUACAAAAGAAAAAUUAACAAUAAAUAAAUAAAUGAUGCUGAGAACAUGAGUUGUAGAGUCUUUGAAAGUGAAUCAGUUCAGUGCUGAGGUGAGUGAAGUUAUCCACACUGGUUCAGGAGCCUGAUGGUUGAAAUGUAAUAACUGAUCUUGAACCUGGUGGGGUGGGACAUCCAGAUGGCAGCUGUGAGAAGAGAGCAUGGCCUGGAUGGUGAGGGUCCUUUAUGAUGGAUGCUUUCUUCAGGCAAUGUUCCUUGGUAGAUGUUUUCUGUGAUGGACUGAGCAGUAUCCACCACUUGUGUUUUUUCCAUUCUUGGGCAUUGGUGUUUCCAUUCCAGGUCAUGAUGCAACUAGCCAGGAUACUCUGCACUGGGCAU